CCUACGGGAGGCAGCAGUAGGGAAUAUUGCUCAAUGGGGGAAACCCUGAUGCAGCAACGCCGCGUGGAUGAUGAAGGUUUUCGGAUUGUAAACUCCUUUUGGUAGAGAAGAUAAUGACGGUAUCUAACGAAUAAGCCCCGGCUAACUCCGUGCCAGCAGCCGCGGUAAUACGGAGGGUGCAAGCGUUAUUCGGAUUCACUGGGCGUAAAGAGCGCGUAGGCGGGAGAGCAAGUCAGAUGUGAAAUCCUAUGGCUUAACCAUAGAACUGCAUUGGAAACUGUGAUUCUAGAGUGUGGGAGGGGUAGGUGGAAUUCUUGGUGUAGGGGUAAAAUCCGUAGAGAUCAAGAGGAAUACUGAUUGCGAAGGCGACCUGCUAGAACGUAACUGACGCUGAGGCGCGAAAGCGUGGGGAGCAAACAGGAUUAGAUACCCUUGUAGUC
rnacentral:rRNA from 1 species